UAUGGUCAAAAUGUCUUCAAGUAUCUAGAGAAUUUGGGGAACCUCUGACCUCCAAGUCCCUCUGAAUUUCUUCCCACUGGGAAGAAAAUAAUGAUCUGCUCUGUGGAAACCCUCGUUGUCACUAGCUCGCUAAUUAGGUUUCCAACUCAUCAUAGCCAAGAGGAUGACAGACAAAAUUGGAAUGUAGAAGAAAGGAGUUGUUUCUAAAUAUAACGAGAAAUUUUCUAAAAUAUACUGUUGCUAUGGAGGCAGUUGUGUUUGCAGAAGCUGCAAUGGACAUGGAACCAAAUGACCUCUGCCCCUGGGUGAACUUCAAGGCACAUGGAGGAAUGGACAAUGAGGUGACUAGUAGGUAACAUGGACUGGAGAAGAGACCACAUUUUGUUGGGAGGAUACCAUCUGAGAUUCUGGUGCAAUGAAUGUGAAGGAAACUCACUAUUGACUGAGACAGGUCACAAGUUCAGGAAGGAAAAAGAGCAUAGACUGGGUGCAUUGAGGUGAUGCCAUUCUCCAUGUCUGCUGAUGGUUAGCUUCAAGUCAUUGGACGAAGCUCCAGCUUAUGGACAAUACUAAAGGCCAUCAGAUGUCCUCCAAGACUCCUGUAAAGGCUAGCUGCCCUGAAACAGCCAGUGACCCAGUCAGAAGGUGACAUGAAUCUUAACCAGAGAUCUAAAGGAGGUCUUUGGAGCAAGAAUCUUCCUUCCUGCUUUUUUGAGCUCAAUUUGAUCUUGAACAAAUCACCAGAAAAAUUUCCAUGUGGAAGACCAAAG